rnacentral:rRNA from 1 species
CUAGCGACUUCAGAGUUUGAUCCUGGCUCAGGAUGAACGCUGCGGCGUGCAUAACACAUUCAAGUCGAACGGACAAAUGACUUCGGUUGUUUGUUAGUGGCGGACGGGUGAGUAACGCGUGAGCAAUCUGCCUUUGAUUGGGGGAUAACACAGGGAAACUUGUGCUAAUACCGCAUAAUGCAUCGAGAUCGCAUGUUUUUGAUGCCAAAGGAGCAAUCUGAUCAAAGAUGAGCUCGCGUCCUAUUAGAUAGUUGGUGAGGUAACGGCUCACCAAGUCGACGAUCGGUAGCCGGACUGAGAGGUUGAACGGCCACAUUGGAACUGAGAAACGGUCCAG